AUGGACCAUGGGAGGAAGGAAGCAAUGGAAACCAAGUGGCCGCCGGUUGGCGGGGCUUCCCAGAGACCCGCCAUCAUCACCCAGGGUCUCUGCAGAAGCUCUUCCCUGAGCCCUGUGCUCCCCGGGAGUGGCUGCCUCCUGAGCCUCCCCGGCUCCCCAGUCCUCUGCCCACUCCCAACCCCCACUCCCGGCUUCCCGGCUCUGGCAUUUGGGGCCACCCUUCUUGCUCUGUGUUUCUUAGCUUCUGUUCAUUUCUCCCACCAGCUGUGUCUCUGUGUCAGUUAUUGCAGGGUUGCAAAAACACGUUGUCCACAUCAUGCUAACACAACCUCAGCUGAAGUCUGUGGCCAAGUUUUGGUGAAGAAACUGAAAUUUUCCAAGACUGUCUUGUGUCUGUUUCCUCAAGUGUGUUCUCAAAGGUUCUGCAACCCAGGAAAAGUUACUUCAGAGUGUAGACACCCACAGCCCAUCCCUGAGGGGCUUUCUGGGGUGCCUCCCAUUUUUUCCUCUUCACUUGUCCACAUUUGGUUGUGAGUCAGUCAGGGUUCUCCACAGAAACAACCCAUUUCUUUAAGGAAUCAUCUCACACCAUUAUGAAAGUAAGUCUCAAAACAAACAAACGUUUUGGCAAGUCCCCAAACAAACAAACAAACAGAUCCAGUGCCAGUUCGGUAGACCAGCAGGACUCAGGGAGGAGCUGAUGCUGGAGUUCAAAUCUGAACCUGGCUGCUGGCAGAAUUCCUUCCCUUUGGGGGGAAGUCAGUCUUUGUUCAGGCCUUCAACUGAUUGGAUGAGGCCCACCCAUGUCACACAGGGGUAAUAAUAACCUGCUUUACCAAAGUCCACUGAUUUAAAUGUACGUCUCAUUUCCAAACAUCCUCACAGGAACACCCAGAAUGACGUUUGGCCAAAUAUCCAGGCAGCAAGGCCCAGCCACGUCUGUACGUGAGAUGAAGCACCACAGGGAGGUUCUCAGGUUUGCUCUUCUCUGUCUUGUCUCCCUUUCCCUCACAGUGUGGGUUUCCAGCCGUGAGGAGCUUUGAGAUGGACAGCAUUUGUGGUCCCUUAGAGGUGAGAGGACACCUGGGGUGGUCCUCUGUCCCUCCUGUCCGGCCCAUUUACCCAUUUUAAAAUGAUACCUAAAGAGCUCUUUUUAUUACAAACCCUGCAUUUUGUCUUUGCCAAUUUUCAAUUGAAGCAGAGCUUGCAUAGAGUGAGGAGCACAGAUCCUGAGUGUCCAGCUGGAACCCGCAUCCCUGUCAAACUAUGGGACGGCCCCAUCCAGCCCCAAGUGACCUUGACCCCCUCCCCUCCUCCUCUCUGACCCUCUCCUGCUCAUCUCAUCUGCAGAACUCUGUGGAAUCUGGGUGGUGGGGUCAGGACACAUUCUCAGCAGUGCAAGGACCUCUGGCUUUGUAUUCCAGUAGUUCUGAUAAGUUCCCAUAGUUUAAUGCCAGUAGUUCUCAACUCACAUGGUUUUUCAUUGUAGUUUACCUUUAAAUAACAUUUACCCUCAUCUUCACUGAAUGGUGGGCAUUAGUCCCUUAGACUACAAGGAGAUCCAACCAGUCAAUCCUAAGGGAAAUCAACCCAGAAUAUUCAUUGGAAGCCUAAUACUGAAGCUCUGAUGCUUUGGCCACCUGAUGCAAAGAGCCAAGACAUUGGAAAAGACCGUGAUGCUUGGAAAGACUGAGGGCACGAGAAGGAGGUGGCAGAGGAUGAGAUGGUUGGAUGGCAUCACAGUCUCAUGGACAUGAAUUUGAGCAAACUCCAGGAGAUCGUGAAGGACAGAGGAACCUGGAGUGCUACAAUCCCGUGGGGUCACAGAGUUAGACAUGACUGGGAAAGCAACUGAACAAUAACAAGAACAACAACAGUGAACUCUGGGAGGGGGAAGGGACCACGAACUUGUCUGUGUUUGGCUCCUGACAGGUACUCCAUAAAGUCUGUUUCCUCAGUGACUCUGGAGCCAACACUGAGAACCGAGGAGGGCUUGGUCAUUUACUGGGCUCAGAUUAUGCAUGUGGCCUCUGCAAAAGGGAGCUGGAGGCAUCACUGGGGUGGCAAAGGGAGCCCAGGGUGGCCUGCACUAUUUUCUGCUAUUCUCAGCCUGUGAAUCACCAGUGUUGUGGUCAGACUGCCCCCUGUGGGUCUGAUGCACUCAGGAAGCUCUG
rnacentral:lncRNA from 1 species